rnacentral:rRNA from 1 species
AAUAGAUACCCUGGUAGUCCACGCCGUAAACGGUGGGCACUAGGUGUGGGCGACAUUCCACGUCGUCCGUGCCGCAGCUAACGCAUUAAGUGCCCCGCCUGGGGAGUACGGCCGCAAGGCUAAAACUCAAAGGAAUUGACGGGGGCCCGCACAAGCGGCGGAGCAUGUGGCUUAAUUCGACGCAACGCGAAGAACCUUACCAAGGCUUGACAUACACCGGAAACGUCCAGAGAUGGGCGCCCCCUUGUGGUCGGUGUACAGGUGGUGCAUGGCUGUCGUCAGCUCGUGUCGUGGGAUGUUGGGUUAAGUCCCGCAACGAGCGCAACCCUUGUCCCGUGUUGCCAGCAGGCCCUUGUGGUGCUGGGGACUCACGGGAGACCGCCGGGGUCGACUCGGAGGAAGGUGGGGACGACGUCAAGUCAUCAUGCCCCUUAUGUCUUGGGCUGCACACGUGCUACAAUGGCCGGUACAAUGAGCUGCGAUACCGCGAGGUGGAGCGAAUCUCAAAAAGCCGGUCUCAGUUCGGAUUGGGGU